rnacentral:rRNA from 1 species
AGAGUUUGAUCCUGGCUCAGGAUGAACGCUGGCGGCGUGCUUAACACAUGCAAGUCGAACGGGAUCCAAGAGCGCUUGCGUUUUUGGUGAGAGUGGCGAACGGGUGAGUAACACGUGAGUAACCUGUCCUUUUCUUUGGGAUAAGCUUCCGAAAGGGUGUUUAAUACCUUAUGUUCUGUCUGCCUCGCAUGGGGUGGGUGGGAAAGAUUUUUUCGGUAGAGGGUGGGCUCGCGGUCUAUCAGCUUGUUGGUGGGGUGAUGGCCUACCAAGGCUUUGACGGGUAGCCGGCCUGAGAGGGUGGUCGGUCACAUUGGGACUGAGAUACGGCCCAGACUCCUGCGGGAGGCAGCAGUGGGGGAUAUUGCACAAUGGGCGAAAGCCUGAUGCAGCGACGCCGCGUGGGGGAUGAAGGCCUUCGGGUUGUAAACUUCUUUUGCUCUGAACAAGGCGCACCGUGGGGUGUGUUGAGUGUAGGGGUUGAUUAGCGCCGGCUAACUACGUGCCAGCAGCCGCGGUAAUACGUAGGGCGCGAGCGUUGUCCGGAAUUAUUGGGCGUAAAGGGCUUGUAGGUGGCUGGUUGCGUCUGUCGUGAAAGCUCAUGGCUUAACUGUGGGUUUGCGGUGGGUACGGGCUGGCUUGAGUGCAGUAGGGGAGGCUGGAAUUCCUGGUGUAGCGGUGGAAUGCGCAGAUAUCAGGAGGAAUACCGGUGGCGAAGGCGGGUCUCUGGGCUGUUACUGACACUGAGGAGCGAAAGCAUGGGGAGCGAACAGGAUUAGAUACCCUGGUAGUCCAUGCUGUAAACGGUGGGAACUGGGUGUGGGGGGCUUUUUUGUCUUCUGCGUCGUAGCUAACGCGUUAAGUUCCCCGCCUGGGGAGUACGGUCGCAAGGCUAAAACUCAAAGGAAUUGACGGGGGCCCGCACAAGCGGCGGAGCAUGCGGAUUAAUUCGAU